CACGGGGGGAGCAAGCGUUGUUCGGAAUCACUGGGCGUAAAGGGCGCGUAGGCGGGCUGUCAAGUCUGGGGUGAAAUGCCGCGGCUCAACCGUGGAACUGCCUUAGAUACUGACGGCCUCGAGGGAGGUAGGGGCGUGCGGAACUGUAGGUGGAGCGGUGAAAUGCGUUGAUAUCUACAGGAACUCCGGUGGCGAAGGCGGGUCUCUGGGCCGAUACUGACGCUGAGGAGCGAAAGCGUGGGGAGCGAACAGG
rnacentral:rRNA from 1 species